GCUGCCGUAGCUCAGUGGUAGAGCGCGUCCUUGGUAAGGACGAGGUCCGGAGUUCAAUCCUCCGCGGCAGCACCA
rnacentral:tRNA from 1 species